rnacentral:lncRNA from 1 species
AUACAUGUUUCAAAAUUAUGAAACCUACAGAUGAGAAAACACUAGAAAAAUAAUAACUCCUAAGGUGGAAAGGAAAGUGAUUGGAAUAAAAAUAUGACAAAACAUUUGGUAACUGCUAAACAUAGGAAGUAGAUACAAGCAUAUUUGUUAUAUUAUUUUCCGUGUGUUUGAAGUAUUUCAUAGUCAACAAAAUUACAGUUUUAUACAGAGGAUCCUAAUUUAAUCAUUUAGAUAACUUAUGGUUGAAUUACAAAUCUUAUUUCUCCUGAGCUACAAUUUAAAACAUCUAGAAUGCUUAGUAAUUACCUAACAACUAUUAUUGAGCAUAUGGUGCCACCUAGCCAACUUACCAGAACAGUUAACAACCGAUGACAAGCUGGUUUUUCUAAUUUACUAUUUCAGAAUAAACUAUCAAAAAGUACUAUGCAUCCAAUUAUGAAUGAGUUUUGUAACUUCAUAAACACAUACAACAUGUUUCUUGACAUCUUUACCUUUUACAGUACAUGGAGGAAAAUCAUUUUGUUUUCUGGUAUUCUUGUUUCUACCUUUACCACAGUACUCCCUUAUUCAAGUAAUAUAUAUUCCAAGACUAGCACUGGAUGAAACUAUAGAUGGUGGUGAAACUAUAGAUGGCACCAAACUCUGUAUGUAUUGUGGUUUUUUACACGUCUGCCUAUGAUAAAUUUUUAUUUAUACUGAUUAAAAAAUUAGACACAAAGAUUGACAAAAUCAACUAUUUAAAAUAGAAUAAUUAUAACCACAUACUAUAAUAAAAGUUUGCACUUAUGGCCAUUAGUAAAUAGGGGUUAUUUGAACACAAGCACUGUGAUAUUGGUAACAGUCAACACGAAGGGCUGCAGGACUAAUGGGUGACAGAACGUAAGAUGUAGAGAUAUCCAGGCCUAAGGGAUAAUUCCCAACCUGGGCUGCACAUCGCUAUGCUCAGAAUGGUGAGCAAUUUAAAAUUUCAUAAAUUGUUUAUUUCUGAAAUUUUCCAUUUAAUAUAUUCAGAAUUGCACUUGACCUCGGGUAUCUGAAAUGACAGAAAGUAAAACCAAGGAUAAGGGAGGACUAAUGUACUCUCUUAUAAGAAAUGAUAGGCAAUUUUCUAAUGGGCUUACUGGUAAUUUUCUAUCACAGAAUAAUAUUCUAGUUUUCUACAAAGACUUACAGCCCUUCUAUGGAAUCAAAGUACUCCAUCAAAUCACUAUCCUGUAAUUCAAAUUUUAACCAUCACUGCUGGCAAAGAAACAUGACUACAAUAAAUCCAGGUGUUUUGCAAAUUCUUAACUCACUAAAUGUUAGAGCACUGUUGUUUCAAUUGUACAUUCUUCUUUCUUUAGCUUUAAUGCAAAAGGAGGGGGGAAAAAAUCAUUAUUUAGGAGAUUUUCCUCUUUCAUCUGAAUAUUACUGACGAAUGUUGUGCUAACCAUAUUUUCAUUUUCCCAGUAUUUACUUACUUAUUACCUGCAGUCAAGGACUAUGCUAGAAGUUUGGGAAGUUACUAUAACAAAACAGUUAAAUUUUUUACUUAAAAUUCACAGAAAAUUCUGAGGAAGAUAAAGCAUUCAAUAAUCAUAAGAUGAAGUAAAAAGUGAUGGUUUAUUUUUUAAAACAGUAAAGGAAAAAUUUUACUUCAUAAGAAUAAAUAUAUUUUCACAACCCAGAGUUAGGAAGUAUUUUAUAAAUUAGUCCCUAUCCUUGGAAAAUUUUUUCCUAUAAGAAUAGAAUUAUUAAGAAUAGAAGACAUGGAAUGGUCUUUCAUAAUUAUUAAGAAUAGAAGACACAGAAAAAUCACAAAAAACAUUCUGGGAAAUUUAAUAUAAAAUUAGACUACCAUCUAACUUUUUAAAAAAAACAUUUAAAAUGUAAAUUUUUUUGGUACGAGGGACUGAACUUGGAACCUUGCACUUGUGAGGCAGGCGGCAGAAUCACUGAGCUAAAUCUCCGGCCCUAAAAUAAAAUUAAAACUAUAAAAGUUAUGAAACAAGAAUUCCUAGACAAUAAACCACAGCUAUGAUUACAAAUACCUCAAGGUCAAUCCCACAGAGAUUUACAAACUGGGAAAUUUUGGUGAAACACAGUCUAUUCUCCAUAGAGCCAACAAGCACAAAUUAUACGUAAGUUCAGGCAGUUAUAAGACCACUGAAACCCAGGUGAGAAAUAGUCUAAGAUAUUAAGGACCAAUUAAACAAAUAGGUAUUAGGGAUAUGAUGAGCAAAAAAUUUAAAGCUAGUUGGAAGGGACUGCCCUUGUUUAAAUUAGUCUUUACCAAAAGUAGCUUAGAGGGUUCUAAAAAUGCAGUGAUAUGAUUAGAUGUUUUGAAGAGUACUGUACUCCAGCAGCAGUAUGGAGAGCAAAUUAAAGUCUGAGAAGAGUCAAUUUAAGUAGCUGGGAGACAGUAGUACAGGAGCUCUGUUUGGCAAUAUAAUUUGAACUAGGGUAACAGUGGCAAAAAAGAUCUGAAAUACUGAAUUUAAAUUCUUUUUAGGAUAUAUUUCCUUUUUGGAGAAGUAGUUGAUACUUAUCUUUCACUUAUUUUUUUUCUGACAGUUUCUCUCAAUUUCCAGGAGGUAUUUUAUUGUAACAACACAUGUUAGCCAUUUAUCUGUCAUAUUUGUUUUAUCUUCUAUUUAGUCGUCCUUUUUCUUUUUUUGGCAUUUUUUUCAAUUUUUAUAUAGAUAAAUUUACAAAUGACUAUAUUUUUCUUUGUAGUUUUUCUCAUUAAUUUUACAUAAUGUCAACUCCAUUCUUUUGUUUUUUUAAACCCGUUUCAUAUUAAGACAAUAGAUUUUAGUGUGAAAUGUAUAUACUGUUUUGAUAAAUUAAUUCAGUCAUCUGGCAAACAUUUAUAAAGCAUAUAUGUUGUGGGGAUAGGUAUAUAAACAAAGGAAAACAGAAAUACAUGUUCCCAGAAUAGAAAGCAUCUGAUUAUUCAAGGAACAGACAACAGAAUAAGGUAAGUUAACAAGUUUCCUAUAAAGGCCAAACUUUAGCUGUUUUGAAGAAUCCUGGAUGUUAGCUAACUGGAAAAACGUAUUUUAUAAGUGACUUCCUGUCAUCACUCCAAUCAAAGUCAAAAUUCAACAUGAAGCUAACAAGUGUUUCCCGUUAACUCCCAAGGACAUCUCUCUGAUUUAUGAUCUUUUAUGUAUCAUAGGUAACAUAAUGGAAAAUAACCCACUGAUUGUUUUCUGGCACAAUGUAUGGUUAGAAAUAAUGUAUGUUUAGGAAUAAAUUCUAAAAUUUUCAGUUCCCCUCUCCAAUAUAUUCUGUACUGCACUGACUACUGAAAUCCAGACUCAACAUAACAGUAAGGCACUACUAUAUUUAUUUUCCACCUCAUACUACAAGUGCUAUGCUAUACCAUCCAAAGAGUUUCCUACCACCAUCUCUUCCUUGCUUAUACUGGUCACUCUACUUGGAAUGCUAUCCUAUUUUUAUUGAGUCCCUGCCUGCAAUUCCUGUAAGAGAUUUUUCAAAGAUCAAGGACAAAUAUCAUUUAUUUGACCUUGCCUUCUUUGGAAACUUUUCUGCACUAAUAGCUAUUGCGGGGGGCACUCUUUAUAAGUUAUUUCUUAUCAUAGGAGGGUACUGCUUAAACUUUCCUUCCUGACAAUAAGUUACUAAAAAAUAUAAGGUAUGCCUUACCCAACUGUUUAUUCUGAACAGUGACUUGAACAUAACACAUAUUCAAAGGCUAAAGAAGGUAAAGAAGAAGAAAUUCUUUUGCCGUAUGCAGCAGUGAGGUCCUCAUUUGAUCCUUACUUUAAGACUUCAGAUAUCCUACUGCUUUACUGAAGAGAAGCACAUGCUGGAAAGGCUAAGUGGCAGACGGUAGCCUGGUGACAUUUAUUUAGUAGAGGUGGUGGUGAGAGCAAAUGUUAUAUAAGGCUGGAUUUUUAAAACGAUUUAGAGAAGAAAAACUACAAAUAGCGAAUAUAAACAGUUCUUUGUUGAAGUUUUGUUACAAAAGGAAGCAGAGAAAUGAGGCAGUUUAAGUGGAAAAAGAAACGAAGCAUUAACCGCACAGGGACUCAUUCAAUAUCAGCAAUUCUUAGGACAAGUUACAAUUCUUAAUCCCGUCCUUUAAUUUUGACAACGAAUAAAAGGCAGGUAACUUGUACUGAGUUUAUUAAGGGUCAGGCACUAUACACUUAGCUAAUUUCUCACAACCUUAUGAGGAAGGUAGUAUCCUGAGCUUCAUGUUAAAGGACUUUGGAUACAGAGAUAAACUGACAUUUUCAAGUCUCUCAGACUGUAAGACCAAGGGCCUUACCAAACGCUCCGAGGAGCUGACUGUAGCGAAGAACACCCAGGAAGGAACACACUGGACAAGUUGGAAAGUAAAACAGACCUUUAUUAGUCUGGCCAGACGGCACUCCCAAAGCGAAGUAGCUUAGAGAGGCAACUGGCUCAGAGUCCAAGGCUGUUUUUAUAGGGGGUUGUAGGAGAAGUUGGCAAGCAGAAAUACAAAGGCGGAGGAGAGAGAUAAAACAGACCUUUUACAGAUUGUCCUUAAGAUAACAUAUUCAGAUACGCAGUUGGGCAAGCGUGACGGAACACUAGGCACACAACAGACCUUCCUGGCAAAACAACAAGCACAUCCCUGGAACUCGAUGUCUACCUGGUGAUCCGUAACAGAAGCAGACAAGUUGGGGCUCUAUUACAAAAUGGAGUAACUGUUGUUCAGUCUCACAAGACAAACGUUUGGGAGCCUAAGGGCCAGAGACAGGUCUCCUGCGUCAGUUUCCCAGACAUGGCGAAGGGGAGUUAAUGGUAAUGAGUUGCCGGAAACCCGCAAGGGCCCAUCAAGAAGAUUCUCCAGCCCCUUCCCGGGUCCUCUACCCUCGACCCCGCCCCGGUCACGUGCCUGUCGGAAAGACUGAAAGGAGCUGGUUUUGAGACUUUCCAAGAGGAGCUAGAUAGGGUCCGCGCCCUGGGCGCUCACCUCGUUAUUGAGAUUGAGAAUUACCGGCGGAGCCAUUGUACAUCAGGGAAGCCGAUCCGCAGCUACCUGCACGCGAUGCGUUUCUAUUGCGGCUGCAUCGCCACGCCCCUCGACGGCGGCUUCUUCAGGCCAAAACUCACCCGCCUUCUGCUAGCGCUGUAGUCUAAAUUUAAAAGUAUGGUGUUUAAAUGGAGGGG